UGGGGAAUUUUGGACAAUGGGGGAAACCCUGAUCCAGCCAUCCCGCGUGUGCGAUGAAGGCCUUCGGGUUGUAAAGCACUUUUGGCAGGAAAGAAACGUCAUGGGUUAAUACCCCGUGAAACUGACGGUACCUGCAGAAUAAGCACCGGCUAACUACGUGCCAGCAGCCGCGGAAAUACGUAGGGUGCAAGCGUUAAUCGGAAUUACUGGGCGUAAAGCGUGCGCAGGAGGUUCGGAAAGAAGGAUGUGAAAUCCCAGAGCUCAACUUUGGAACUGCAGUAUUAACUACCGGGCUAUAGUGUGUCAGAGGGAGGUGGAAUUCCGCUUGUAGCACUGAAAUGCGUGGAUAUGCGGAGGAACACCGAUGGCGAAGGCAGCCUCCUGGGAUAACACUGACGCUCAUGCACGAAAGAGUGGGGAGCAAACAGG
rnacentral:rRNA from 1 species